rnacentral:rRNA from 1 species
ACGGGGGUGCAAAUUUAAUCGGAUUCCCGGGUUUAAGGGCACCUAGUUGUUUAGUCAGUUAAAACGAAAGCCCGGGCUCCACCUGGGAACAGCACUUGAUCUGCCGGCCUAGAUACGGUAAAGGGUAGUGAAUUUCCGGUGAAUCGUUAAAUGCGUAGAGAUCGGAGGAACACUAGUGGUGAAGGCGACUGCUUGGACCGAUACUGACACUGAGGUGCGAAAGCGUGGGUAGUAAACAGGAUUAGUUACUCUGGUAGUCCACGCUGUAAACGAUGUCAACUAACCGUCGGGGACUUGAUCCGUUAGUGGCUCAGCUAACAUGAUAAGUUGUCCGCAUGGGGAGUACGGCCGCAAGGUUAAAACUCAACUGAACUGACGGGGGCCCGUACAAGCGCUGGAGCAUGUGGUAUAAUUCGAAGCAUCGCGAAGAACAUGACCUACUCUUGACAUCUUGCGAACGUGCUAUAGAUAGCUAGGUGCCUUCGGGAACGCAGUGACAGAUGCUGCAUGGCUGUCGUCAGCUCGUGUUGUGAAAUGUUAGGUUAAGUCUCGUACCGAGCGCAACCCCUAUCCUUAUUUGCCAGCACUUUGCGUUGGAACUCUAAGGAGACUGCCGUUGACAUACCGGAGGAAUGUCGGUAUGACGUCAAGUCAUCAUGGUCUUUGCGAGUAUGGCUAUACUCGUGCUACAAUGGCCGGUACAGAGGGCCGAGAACUUGCGAGGGUAAGUAAUUCUCAGAAAACCGGUCGUAGUCUGGAUUGCAGUCUGCAAAUGGGCUGCGUGAAGUUGGAAUGCUUGUAAUCGCGAAUCAGAACGUUGCGGUGAAUACUGUUCCCGGGCCUCUUACACAUCGCCCGUUACACCAUGGGAGUGGGUUGCACCAGAAGUAGCUAGUAUAACCUUCGGGAGGACGGUUACCACGGUGUGAUUCAUGAGCUGGGGUGAA